ensembl:lncRNA
GUCAAUUGACAUGUUUUGUAAAAUGGCCUUUUCUCUUGGCAGCAUCCGUGCAGACAGUCUGAGAGCAAGAACUUCUUUCCGGCAUUGCACUCUGAAAAGUAUAUGAGGAAGAAAAUACAAGGAAUUAGGAAUCAGAGCUACAGAAGAGAACUGCAGCACCGAGAAAGGAAUAUAAAACACCGGAAGUUUCACAGUGUAUUUUCUUUUCUCAUUUAUCAAAUAGUAUUCUGGCCAGGGCCUAUUUGAAAUGUACUGUAUUAAAAUGAUCAGAAAAAAAAAAAAAGUACUGUUUUUUGCAUGGUUUACAAUAUUUUGUUAACAUCUUAUCAGCUUUAAACUGUAUGCCCAGUGAUGGGUAGCAUAAAAUGUAGUAUAUGUUUAAUACGGGGUUCUUGUGAUGCUCUCUGCAGUCUACCUGCUGGUGUUUUUGAAAUCCAUUUCCAGAAGGAACCACACUCCAAGAAAAUGUUUAAAUUUUGCAUUGUUACAGGUAUAAUCUGAUAGAAGUGGGUUAGCCUGUGAUUCAGUGUGGCUUGUGUGCAGCCGAACUGUGGGCCUUGCUGCAGCCUGCAUAACUGGUAUGGCAGCGCAAAGCCGCGCUGGUGUGCGAGGCUGUUAGGCAAUCGGUAUUCCUGGCUGAGGAAGACAGUGAAUCAGCAGGCAUGGCUGAAGGUGACAGUGACAAAUGGCCCCGAGUCUCUGCUGUGUAGCCAGCACAGUCAAGUCUUGUUCUUCAGCCCAGUGAUGAAACUGGUGAGGUUCCCUCCAGAGGAUCACAUCAACAGCAAUUUAUCGUCAAUUCUUCAAAGACCAUGGCGUGAGUCUUCUGACUUUGAGACACAUGCAGAUAUGAGUCUCUGGCCCAGAGGCAAGAAACUGGAUUUCUCUUGCUUAGAAGAAUGUGCAUUUAUUGUAAAUCUUCCAUCCACUUGGGAAUUCUUCUGGGGCCCUGAUUUUUUUUUCCAGUGCUGGAUAUAUUUGGCUGCAAUAGGGACUGUAGAAUGAAUGACAACUUUGUUUCCAUAAAGCUGGAAGGAGUCAGAUGUUCAAAGUUCAUUAAAGUCUUUUCCUAUCUUAGGAGCUCCACGGAUAUGCAAUAUGAAAGUAGGAUUUUUUUCUUAGGCUCUAGAGAACUCAUUUUCUUUCUGUUUUGCAUCUCUGUGUUGUUGAAUCUGUCUUGUUGUAUUGCUACCAGGUGUCUUUAGAGCAAAAGCUUUCAGAUUAGAAGAGUCUGAAUCAGGAUGCAAAGGAUCAACUCUAAGAUGUUGUCCAAGAGUACUUUUUCUUGUUCCUUCCUGUCAUGGCUCAGCUGCAGAGAAUUUACCUUGUCUUUUUGCUGCUGUUCUUGUUCUCAGAUGUUUUGCAUUUAGAUGAACCAGCAGAACUCAGACAGCAGGAAUUACCCAUACGGAUGGACUAUCGCCACAUCAUCUGGAAAGGCCUCAAUACUGAGCAUGUGUCUCUUGAUGUUCCAUUUCCGUGGAAUCGAUGAGAGGGAUUGGACAUACUGACUCUGCAGUACCAGUCGUCUUUUGUGUCCCUCUGCUUCCUAUGGGACUUUCAGGCAUGGACACUGCAUCCCACCUGCCCAUGAUAUCCUCAGUGUGCUAGAUCAUAGCAAGGCUUACUGAUAAGAGGAAAAUAUGACACUAAAUCGUCUAAUUCUUGAUCGAGGGCAGUUAAACUCACAACUGGCAGCUGCCAUCAUAUCACACUGUGAAUACAAAGGUCGCAGAGAGUCUGAGCAACACUUAAGGUCACUUGUCCUUGAAACAAUUUAUAACGUGGACCCCACACUAGAGGACUGUGUGGAGGUUAUUGGUGUAGUGCUCAUGCAGAGGGCAUGGCAAACAAGGCAGCAGAAACGGAGAAUCUGUGUCCUGGCUUUAGAACAUCUCCUGGCAGAUGUGCUGCUCCCAUGAGAAGCAGUAAGAUGGGUGUGGAGAGAGAGUGGUGUACUUCCAUACCACAGCUUUCAGGUCUUCCUGGGCUGACAAGAGCACUCCUACUGCCAGCAGGCAAAAAGCAGGAGGAGAUUUGGAAAUGGAGCUUCGGUAGUUUGUUCCGCUCAUUACACCCAGUUCUUUCCAGUCAGUUGGUUAUCCAUUAGCUUGGGAAGUACAAAAAUCACCUGGAGGUAUCACAGCUCUUUUAGGGCAUAUUUAGAAGAUGUAUCUCCCUGUUGUUCUCUCCUUCCAUUUGUCAUCUUUCUCAUUACAGAGGAGCUUAUUCGCUAGCCACUUUGCCAACUCUAGGAUUUAUAGCAGCUGAAGAGAGUACUUUAGGCAGGGAGGAGUGACUGCAUUGACCUCGAACUCCCAGAACUCUCCAAGAAGUCAGUGUAUUAAAGAUAAUGAUGUACCAAGGCGAUAAAAUGUAGAGGCAAUAAAAAUGUUAUACAGAUGUUAAUGCAUACAAGCAAAAUACAUAAUAUGAAAAUGGAAAAAGCCCUAAAUAACUACUGGACAUUUUACAUUGUCUUAAAUACACUUCUGCAGCACCUGUGUGGUUCAGUGGCACAAUUUGUCAUGCAAAUCAUGUUGCUUGCCAGAUAAACCAAAUCUUUCUGACAUCCCCAGUCUCAUUUGUGGGACACUGGUGACAAACUUCAAAACUAGGGUGUGGGAGAAAAGUGGAGAAGGGAAACUGAGACCAGCUUAGAAUAUUUUAUUUAAUUUAUGGUGCCUUGAAUUCCUUUUCCUUCUUUUUCCAGUAAUGGAAGAAAGAAAACUCUCCAGUUCUCUGAAGCUACAGCUCUUGAUCUAUGGCCUUUACUUUGGAAAGCACUUAUGUAUGCUUCCAAGUAUUCUUUUCCUUUUUUAAUAGAUGGGACUUAAGCGGAUGUUUAAGUAGUUUGUUUUUGCACUGGUAGUCUUACAAACUAAUAGCUAAUGUUAUGGGUUAAUAUUAUAGCUAUGCUGAAGGGCUGCUGCUGCCUGAGCCCCAGCAAAUGGAAGAUAUGAAGGGAACCAGGAUGUGCAGAAAUGCCUACUCCUGUUGGAAAUAACUUUGUCUUUGCCAAAAAGGGGAGAAUGUGUGAGAAAAGGCUUAUGAUUUCAGCCAGCCUUUCUUUUCAAUGUACUGCACAAAAAAGCACAACAGACCUUCCAUAAAUUAUCAGUUCUUUCCAGUUUUAUUAAACAUAGAGAACCUGUGAUCCUCUUUGUUAAUUCUCUGUGCUGUGUACAGCUAACCCUUUAGUUGUCCUUCACACAUAUUUUGAGAAUAAAAAUUCCUGCAGCUGGAAUACGUCGUAUUGACCAUGUUUUUUGUCCAACAAAGGCUGGAGGAACAUAGAGUUCAAAUGAAUACAUAACGUUUUGUUAAGUUUUUGGCAACUUUACAUGGACAGACUUUAACAAAUGACAAAUUGUGCUUGUCAGCAUAGCAAACUUUGUGCUUCUUAUCAUGUACAGUAUUUCUGAAAAUGGCCAAGAGCAUAACUAUAAAGUGUGUCUGUGUUGUGUAUAGGGUUCUUUGGGAGUAUUAAAAACACAGUGCUCAUGAAUGUAGUUGUUAAUGCUUAAGCUGUAUCUGUUAGUGUGCAAAACCAUAUUUCCUGGUCUAGUAGUAUCUGUGUAAGGAUAGAGGAGUUGCCUGGCACAGUGGAGAUCAGCCUAGUAGGGUGGUGCGAGGCUGGUGGGCAUGUACUGGCACCCUACCAAAUCUUCUGCCUCUGCUGUUGUUGCACACAACACAACUCUGCCCUCUGUAGCUGAUGGCACGUCUGUAUGUGAGCUACCAGGUGUCAGAGCUUCAAAAUGCUGUACAAGAAGAAGAUAAUAAUCUCAAAGGCUAAAAGAGGGCCCAUCUGUUGUCAAUGGGUGUGCCGAGCUCUUUUGCAGCCUUCCGUCUUCCAGAGGACAAAUUACUUUGUUAACUGUUUGCAGCCACCUUAACUCACCUUUUAAAGGAAGAUUUAAAGCUUUUUUAGUUUAACUUUGUAAAAGUUUUUUUUUUUUCUUUGUAAUGUCUUUUUAUGAAUCUUAGAAAAGAAAAAACACUGUUUUGGACUUCAUUUUCUUUACCCUGUGUUGGCUGGUAUUUUGCUUUCACUGGUUUUUGUUUCUUUGGAGUUGACAGUGAGGGCACUGGUGUUCCAGUUUAGAAGUACACCUUGUUACCGAAAUGAUGCUGAUCCGCUACAAAAAUGCAGUUAACAUUUUAUAAACAAACAUUUCCCAAUCAUCAUUUUUCUCUGUGAUUUCACAAUGACAAAGCAUGAGGGUAAACAUAAUAUUAAAAUGGGAAUCAUGAUACUCAUGUCAGUGCAACUGUAAAAGCCUAAUCAGUGAUGUCAAAGUCCUUGAAUUUUAAAUACUAUUAUGAUAUGAUUAUUUUUUGCAACACUAAACAGUUAAAUUUUAUACUUAAACACCAUAUCUUCUUUCACUAGCACAUAAUCUACCAGUCAUAUGUUUUAUGAUGAUGUGAGCAUGUAUCUUACCAGCAAAUGUUCUGGCCAACAAUAGCAUCGUUUUUUCAUAAGUAGGAGGAAAAAUAUUUUAAAAAUAGCUUGAGAUAAACCCAACCAGCAGUAAAAGUCUGAUUGUUAAUGCAGAAGAAAUAUGCAAAAAGUAGAAAAAUGAGUUUUCUCAAUAUAUCCUUUGUGAACACCAAACCGUAAAAUAUCACUAGUUUAUCAACAGUACUAAAUAGUGAUUUUUUAAAAAAUGAAAUAGAAAAAAAAACACUAAAAUACACAGAAAGGUUUACAGAACAAAAUUACGUUAUUUUGUUAGUCAAGAUUGAUAUUCUUUAAUUUCUUUAAGUAGGAAAAAAAGACAAGUUAAUGAUAUAUGAGGCCUACACUAAUAAGCUGGAGAUAAACCGAAAUUUUAAUGCAUAGUCCUGCUGUUCGAACAACACUAAAUGUUCUUCUCUCAUAGUUUAACAGAAAAUGGUUGAUUUUUGGUCUUACUUUCAUGUAAUGUAUGUAUUUAAUGAUGAAAAAUACAGUGUUCAUAACCAUUGACUACAUACCUAUAAACUCAAUUAGCUGUGUAGCUUCAUUCUUUGGGAGUCAGAAGGUGUCCCAGGCUAUAUAAUCUGUUGAAUUGACCCGCUUCAGCAAUACAGAAUUGCUAUCGCUGCUUUGACAAUGAAAGAAAAAUACAGUCCUACUUUAACAGUUCUGAAAAUAUCUUGCUUCCAAUGGAAAUCUUAAGGACUGAUAGGUGAGGAAGCACAGUAUAAUUCUGUGAUUAAAAUACUCAGAGGACACGAAUGGAGACUAUCCUUACUCCUGAUUUUUAUUGUUAUUUAAACAUUGACAACUUACAAAUUUGGGAAUACAAUUAUUUGUUUCAUCAGAAUCCCAUUCCAAAGGAGAACAAUUUUAGAGAAUUGAAUCAUCUUUAAAAUUUGUUAUUCAUUUAGUUAUUGUUAAUAUUAGACAAACUAAUUACAUUGACAGCCCAUGGAAAGAGAUACUCAGGAUGUUGUUAUACUAUGUAUAAUAGUAAAAUUGUAAAAUUUUUACAGAUACAGUUAAUAAAGUCUUUGUUAGAA